AGAAAAAACAAAGUACACUGAAGGUGGGGCUUGGGGCAGGGUCACACAAUUUACUUGUCAAGAGAGAGAACACAAACCAAUACAAUGACAACAAAAAUCAGUACACUGCAUCAUGAAAGGAGAAAAUGGAGGGCAGAGGGUGAGUAUGUCCUAGAAAGGCAGGAGAGUUUGUACUACUUACGUUACUUGGGACUAGAAAAAGCUUCCAUGCAGGUUAAGAGAGAUGUAACUUAUGACUAUAUUUGGUUUGUUAAAACAGGUAUCAUUAUUCACUGGCCAGGAAAGUGCUUCCUGUGUUGGUCCAUUACAAGUCUGACAUUCCACAAAUGCUCCAAGUUCUUAGUUCUCUUUCAGCUUUCACUGAUGGACCGCUCAAAUUCCAUGGGAUAGAGAGUGCCAGAGGAGGGUAGAAGAGAAAAUCUUAAGCAGGCUCUGCAUGGAGCCCAACUUUGGGCUCAAUCAGAACAACCCUGGGAUCGUGACCCAAGCUGAAAUCAAGAGUUGGAUGUUCAAUCAAUUGAGCCACCCAGACACCCCUCAACUAUUGUUUUUAAAUAUAAAAUACCAUAUAAUCCAAUAAUUCUACUAGUGAGUAUUUACCCAAAGUAAACAACACACUAACUGAAAAAGAUAUGUGUACCCCUAUGUUUAUUGAAACAUAAUUUACAACAGCCAAGAUAUGCAAGCAACCUAAGUACCCAUAGAUAGAUGAGUGGAUAAAGAAGAUAUGAUCUGUACAUACAUAUAUAUACAUACACAUAUACUAAGAAGUAGUAUGCAACUAUAAAAAGCACGAGAUCUUGUCAUUUGCAACAACAUGGAUGGACUCAGAGGGCGUUUUGCUAAGUAAAAUAAGUCAUACUAAGAAAGACAAAAACCAUAUGAUUUCACUCAUAUAUGGAAUUUGAAAAACAAAUGUAUAAACAAACAAACAAAAAGCAGAAUCAGACCUUUAAAACCUGAGAACAAAUUGUUGCUAGAAGGAGGGAAGUUGGGGAAUGGGUAAAAUGGAUGAAAGGGAGGGAGGGUACAGGCUUUUAGUAUGGAAUAAAUAAGUUAUAAAUGGAAUAUAUAAGUUAUAU
rnacentral:lncRNA from 1 species